UACGUAGGUGGCAAGCGUUAUCCGGAAUUAUUGGGCGUAAAGAGCGCGCAGGUGGCUGAUUAAGUCUGAUGUGAAAGCCCACGGCUUAACCGUGGAGGGUCAUUGGAAACUGGUCGACUUGAGUGCAGAAGAGGGAAGUGGAAUUCCAUGUGUAGCGGUGAAAUGCGUAGAGAUAUGGAGGAACACCAGUGGCGAAGGCGGCUUCCUGGUCUGCAACUGACACUGAGGCGCGAAAGCGUGGGGAGCAAACAGGAUUA
rnacentral:rRNA from 1 species